rnacentral:rRNA from 1 species
CCUACGGGCCGCACCAGUGGGGAAUAUUGGACAAUGGGCGAAAGCCUGAUCCAGCAAUGCCGCGUGUGUGAAGAAGGUCUUCGGAUUGUAAAGCACUUUCGACGGGGACGAUGAUGACGGUAUCCGUAGAAGAAGCCCCGGCAACCUCGUGCCAGCAGCCGCGGUAAUACGAAGGGGGCUAGCGUUGCUCGGAAUGACUGGGCGUAAAGGGCGCGUAGGCGGUUUAUGCAGUCAGAUGUGAAAUCCCCGGGCUUAACCUGGGAACUGCAUUUGAGACGCAUAGACUAGAGGUCGAGAGAGGGUUGUGGAAUUCCCAGUGUAGAGGUGAAAUUCGUAGAUAUUGGGAAGAACACUGGUGGCGAAGGCGGCAACCUGGCUCGAUACUGACGCUGAGGCGCGAGAGCGUGGGGAGCAAACAGGAUUAGAUACCCCUGUAGUC